rnacentral:lncRNA from 1 species
GCUCCCAUAGGAGUCCGGACGAAGUCUGCCUGCAGCCAGAGUCGGAGAUGAGGUCCGGCUCCCGUAGGAGUCCGGGCGAGGUCUAGAAGACGGUCGAUCAUCGUGGAAACUUGGGUGGAGUCUGUCCGUCGUGAAGAAUCCGGUCGACGCCGGUGGGGGCUUAUCCGUCAGCAAAACUUGAGAGUGUUGCGGAGGCUCGACCGCCAGAG